AACGCGAAGAACCUUACCUAGACUUGACAUCUCCUGCAUUACUCUUAAUCGAGGAAGUCCCUUCGGGGACAGGAUGACAGGUAGUGCAUGGUUGUCGUCAGCUCGUGUCGUGAGAUGUUGGGUUAAGUCCCGCAACGAGCGCAACCCUUAUUGUUAGUUGCCAUCAUUAAGUUGGGCACUCUAGCGAGACUGCCCGGGUUAACCGGGAGGAAGGUGGAGAUGACGUCAAAUCAUCAUGCCCCUUAUGUCUAGGGCUACACACGUGCUACAAUGGUCGGUACAAUAAGACGCAAGCCCGCGAGGGGGAGCAAAACUGGAAAACCGAUCUCAGUUCGGAUUGUAGGCUGAAACUCGCCUACAUGAAGCUGGAGUUGCUAGUAAUCGCGAAUCAUCAUGUCGCGGUGAAUACGUUCCCGGGUCUUGUACACACCG
rnacentral:rRNA from 1 species